AUGGAUAUACACCCGCAGGUGUUGUGCUGGAAUGUUAGGGGCCUCAACAAUCCAGCAAAAAGGAAGGCCGUUCGGGAGGUUGUGGAUAUGGUUAAGGUGAACCUAGUUUGCUUCCAGGAAACAAAAAUGGAUGUAAUGGACCAUUAUAUUGUAAUGCAAUGCUUGGGGCCAUCGUUUGAUGGUUUUGCGUACGUGCCAGCGGUGGAUAUGUGUGGAGGUAUACUCUUGGCAUGGGAUAGCUCGGUGCUUCGGGUAGAUAAUAUCAUGCUCAACACUAGCUUCCUCACAGGAAGGGUGCAUGCCAAGCUAGGGGAACCAUGGUGGAUCACAGUGGUAUAUGGACCACAAGGUGAUGAGAGGAAAACUCAGUUCUUGCACGACAUUAAGGAAUGGAGGGUGGGGUGCCCAGGGCCUUGGAUGUUGCUUGGUGAUUUUAACAUGAUCAUUAGGGCCACGGACAAAAACAAUCCCAAUGUUAACAGAAGGAUGAUGGGUCGUUUCCGAGAUUUUGUGGAUGAUCAUGAGCUCAAGGAGAUGUACAUGCAUGGCAGGAGAUACACGUGCUCGAACGAGAGGGAUACACCCACAAUGACCAAAAUUGACAGGGUACUCAGGACCGUGGAUUGGGAGCUAGACAACACGGAGUACCUCCUUCAGGCGCUCUCUAUAGGUGUCUCGGAUCAUGCGUCGUUACUACUUACUACUAGUGCUAGUUUUUGCACCAAGCAUCGAUUUCGGUUCGAGAUGUUUUGGACCAAGCUUGAAGGGUUUGAGGAUGCG
rnacentral:rRNA from 1 species